CAUAACCAAUGAUAUCUAAUGUGUAAGAGCUCAUGAUCUUGUUAUAAAAUGAUGCAAACAGGUGCGUAACGCGUGGGAAUCUGUCGAACAGUUCACUCCAAAUCCUGAAUAAUUCAUAAAGAAAGCUAAUUUGCGUUGUUUGAUGAGCCCGCGUAGUAUCAGGUAGUUGGUUAGGUAAAGGCUGACCAAGCCAAUGAUGCUUAUCUGGUCUUUUCGGAUGAUCAACCACACUAGGACUGAGACACGGCCCAGACUCCCUUGGGGGGCAGUAGUGGGGAAUAUUGGACAAUGGGCUCAUGCCCGAUCCAG
rnacentral:ncRNA from 1 species